AAAAUCCGUUGGCUUUANUGACCGUGAGGGUUCAAGUCCCUCUAUCCCCA
rnacentral:tRNA from 1 species